CGGCACCUUCUGGGAGCUUUUCUUCUCUGUUAACUCCUUCCCGGAGCUGCCUGCAAUCAAAGACCACCAUCUUGAACAGCGAAGAUGAGGAGCAGAGGCCUGGAAGUGGUUUACAAACAGAUGACUAUGGAUGCCCCACAUGUGCUGCUUCAUCUGACUGUUGUGUCAGAGGAAAGAAUGCCACUAUCCUGUCUGAAAAUUCAGCCCAAAGGCUUUCUCUGUACAUCAAAAUAGUUUGCUUCUCUUCCUUCCCUGGCGUGUUUGACCAAGGCCCCAGAGAAUGUGUUCCCUUCCCUAGAAAUUUCUCAGGAUCUCAGGAAACCUCACAGGGAGCUGGGGUGGAGGUGUAGGCAUUGGAGGAGGCCUGCGGGUGUACAGCAUGAGGGGCCAGACGGUGGGCCUGGAUGUUCUUCAGAGACU
rnacentral:lncRNA from 1 species